rnacentral:ncRNA from 1 species
UCUGAUAAAGGCAAACCUUGGGUAACCAAGGGACGCAAAGUAAAGGGUCUUAAUCAUAAAGACAGCCUUACUGCCGAAG